UAUUUUCACAGUUCUACAAAUCUGGACUGGAAUGUGUUUUUGUGUUAACUAAAAUCCUUAUUCAAUUCAAAUAUUCAUGGGUGAUACUGUUCAAGUCGUCAGAUCUUUCCUUUUCUUUUGUUCAUCAUCUGCCUAUUAAAGCGCAAUUAAAGAACUGAUGAUGACACUAUCCAUAUGCUACAGAAUGUGUCACAUUCAGACGACUUGUAUUUCUUGCUCUUGAGGGAGGGUAUCAUGUAUUGGGGCCACCUGGUGUUAAUAAGGUCCAGCUUUGAGUCCAUUGCCUUUGGCAGAAAUAAUAGUGAUGGCAACUCGUGUCUGUCAAUCGACAAUGUCAUUGGAAUGUGCAUCUGGACAUAAGACCAAUGCAGGCAUCAGAACAAGGACCUGUCCUCGCAGAAGUGGUAUAAGUCCGCAUGAAGAGAAGAACAGUUGAAGACUCUGCACAUAAAGACUCCCUUUUCAGCUGAUGAUUAUGGACUGUAAGUUUCAUGAAAGGCAGUGGAGCUUCAUCCAGAGAGUGUGCAGUGCGCUAGCCGCUAUCAUUGUUUUUUCCCCUGGCUUGAUGCAAAUGGCCGCUGCUCCCAAGUUGCCUAUCCUUGGCGGGACAGAUUGAAGGUUGUCGUCCUCCUUCCAUUUGGUUGAAUACUUAAUGAAAUCAGUUAUAGAUUAUGACUGGACUGAACAUUCCUAGUUGUGGUUGGUAUAGGACAAAGUUUAAACGUUAUAUGCUGAUAUGAUCUCUGGUCCAGCUCUACUUGAUCCGAGACAUGCGUAUAUCUGCACCAAGCAAGCUGGGUCAUGCAUUCCGUACUCAGUGUCAAAUCUGAAUUCUACCACAAGUACGUACAAUCCUAGAUGGGCAAGACGAUGGCCGCGUGGCGUUCACAGGGGAAUUUGACC